CACCGGGGAGCAGAGAUGAUCCGAGCCGCGUCGCUGCCGCUAUUCCUGCUGCUGCUGCUAGUGUCCUGGGCGCCCCGAGGGGAGGCAGCCCCCGACCAGGACGAGAUCCAGCGCCCCCUCGGACUGGCCAAGCAGCCGUCCUUCCGCCAGUACUCCGGCUACCUCAAAGGCUCUGGUUCCAAGUACCUCCACUAGUGGUUUGUGGAGUCCCAGAAGGAUUCGGAGGACAGCCUUGUGGUGCUUUGGCUCAAUGGGGGUCCCGGCUGCAGCUCCCUAGAUGGGCUCCUCACAGAGCAUGGCCCCUUCCUGGUCCAGCCAGAUGGUGUCACCCUGGAGUACAACCCCUAUUCUUGGAAUCUGAUUGCCAAUGUGUUAUACCUGGAGUCCCCAGCUGGGGUGGGCUUCUCCUAUUCCGAUGACAAGUUUUAUGCAACUAAUGACACUGAGGUCGCCCAGAGCAAUUUUGAGGCCCUUCAAGAUUUCUUCCACCUCUUUCCGGAGUACAAGAACAACAAACUUUUUCUGACCGGAGAGAGCUAUGCUGGCAUCUACAUCCCCACCCUGGCCGUGCUGGUCAUGCAGGACCCCAGCAUGAAUCUUCAGGGGCUGGCUGUGGGCAAUGGACUCUCCUCCCAUGAGCAGAAUGACAACUCCCUGGUCUACUUUGCCUACUACCAUGGCCUUCUGGGGAACAGGCUUUGGUCUUCUCUCCAGACCCACUGCUGCUCUCAAAACAAGUGUAACUUCUAUGACAACAAAGACCCGGAAUGGGUGACCAGUCUACAGGAAGUGGCCCGCAUCGUGGGCAGCUCUGGCCUCAACAUCUACAACCUCUAUGCCCCUUGUGCUGGAGGAGUGCCCAGCCAUUUUAGGUAUGAGAAGGACACUGUUGUGGUCCAGGAUUUGGGCAACAUCUUCACUCGCCUGCCACUCAAGCGGACGUGGCAUCAGGCAUUGCUGCGCUCAGGGGAUAAAGUGCGCAUGGACACCCCCUGCACCAACACGACAGCUACUUCCACCUACCUCAACAACCCGUACGUGCGGAAGGCCCUCCACAUCCCGGAACAGCUGCCGCAAUGGGACAUGUGCAACUUUCUGGUAAACUUACAGUACCGCCGUCUCUACCGAAGCAUGAACUCCCAGUAUCUGAAGCUGCUUAGCUCACAGAAAUACCAGAUCCUGAUAUAUAAUGGAGAUGUAGACAUGGCCUACAAUUUCAUUGGGGGAUGAGUAGUUUGUGGAUUCCCUCAACCAGAAGAUGGAGGUGCAGCGCCGGCCCUGGUUAGUGAAGUAUGGAGACAGCGGGGAACAGAUUGCGGGCUUCGUGAAGGAGUUCUCCCACAUCGCCUUUCUCACGAUCAAGGGCGCCGGCCACAUGGUUCCCACCGACAAGCCCCUCGCUGCCUUCACCAUGUUCUCCCGCUUCCUGAACAAGCAGCCAUACUGAGGACCACAGCAACCAGCUCCACGGCCUGAUGCAGCCCCUCCCAGCCACUCCUGCUGGGAGAGUCUUCUUCUAAGCAAAGUGCCCCUGCAGGCCAGGUUCGCCUUCAGGACUGCCCCCUUCCCACAGCCCUGUGCAUCCCAGACUGGGCCAGGGUCUCUCAUAGACAG